rnacentral:rRNA from 1 species
GACGAACGCUGGCGGCGUGCUUAACACAUGCAAGUCGAACGGAAAGGCCCUGCUUUUGUGGGGUGCUCGAGUGGCGAACGGGUGAGUAACACGUGAGUAACCUGCCCUUGACUUUGGGAUAACUUCAGGAAACUGGGGCUAAUACCGGAUAGGAGCUCCUGCUGCAUGGUGGGGGUUGGAAGUUUCGGCGGCUGGGGAUGGACUCGCGGCUUAUCAGCUUGUUGGUGGGGUAGUGGCUUACCAAGGCUUUGACGGGUAGCCGGCCUGAGAGGGUGACCGGCCACAUUGGGACUGAGAUACGGCCCAGACUCCUACGGGAGGCAGCAGUGGGGAAUAUUGCACAAUGGGCGGAAGCCUGAUGCAGCAACGCCGCGUGCGGGAUGACGGCCUUCGGGUUGUAAACCGCUUUCGCCUGUGACGAAGCGUGAGUGACGGUAAUGGGUAAAGAAGCACCGGCUAACUACGUG